rnacentral:rRNA from 1 species
CCUGGCUCAGAACGAACGCUGGCGGCGCGCCUAAUACAUGCAAGUCGAGCGAGAAGACGUAGCAAUACGUUUGUAAAGCGGCGAACGGGUGAGGAAUACAUGGGUAACCUACCCUCGAGUGGGGAAUAACUGGCCGAAAGGUUAGCUAAUACCGCGUACGCUUCUUGGACUUCGGUUCAGGGAGGAAAGCGAUACCGUGGGUAUCGCGCUCUUGGAUGGGCUCAUGUCCUAUCAGCUUGUUGGUGAGGUAACGGCUCACCAAGGCUUCGACGGGUAGCUGGUCUGAGAGGACGAUCAGCCACACUGGCACUGCGACACGGGCCAGACUCCUACGGGAGGCAGCAGUAAGGAAUAUUGCGCAAUGGGCGAAAGCCUGACGCAGCGACGCCGCGUGGGGGAUGAAGGUCUUCGGAUUGUAAACCCCUUUCGGGAGGGAAGAUGGAACGAGCAAUCGUUCGGACGGUACCUCCAGAAGCAGCCACGGCUAACUUCGUGCCAGCAGCCGCGGUAAUACGAAGGUGGCAAGCGUUGUUCGGAUUUACUGGGCGUACAGGGAGCGUAGGCGGUUCGGUAAGCCCUCUGUGAAAUCUCCAGGCUUAACCUGGAACAGUCGGAGGGGACUGUCGGGCUAGAGGACGGGAGAGGAGCGCGGAAUUCCCGGUGUAGCGGUGAAAUGCGUAGAGAUCGGGAGGAAGGCC